rnacentral:rRNA from 1 species
CGCGGCCUAUCAGCUUGUUGGUGAGGUAACGGCUCACCAAGGCGACGACGGGUAACCGGCCUGAGAGGGUGACCGGUCACACUGGGACUGAGACACGGCCCAGACUCCUACGGGAGGCAGCAGUGGGGAAUAUUGCACAAUGGGCGCAAGCCUGAUGCAGCAACGCCGCGUGAGGGAUGACGGCCUUCGGGUUGUAAACCUCUUUUAGCAGGGAAGAAGCGAAAGUGACGGUACCCGCAGAAAAAGCACCGGCUAACUACGUGCCAGCAGCCGCGGUAAUACGUAGGGUGCAAGCGUUGUCCGGAAUUAUUGGGCGUAAAGAGCUCGUAGGCGGUUUGUCACGUCUGCUGUAAAAAUCCAAGGCUCAACCUUGGACUUGCAGUGGGUACGGGCAGGCUAGAGUGCGGUAGGGGAGAUGGAAAUUCCUGGUGUAGCGGUGGAAUGCGCAGAUAUCAGGAGGAACACCAAUGGCGAAGGCACAUCUCUGGGCCGUAACUGACGCUGAGGAGCGAAAGCGUGGGGAGCGAACAGGAUUAGAUACCCUGGUAGUCCACGCCGUAAACGGUGGGUGCUAGCUGUGGGCCACAUUCCACGUGGUCCGUGACGAAGUUAACACAUUAAGCACCCCGCCUGGGGAGUACGG